AUUGAACGCUGGCGGCAGGCUUAACACAUGCAAGUCGAGCGGAGAGAAGUAGCUUGCUACUGAUCUUAGCGGCGGACGGGUGAGUAAUGCUUAGGAAUCUGCCUAUUAGUGGGGGACAACAUUUCGAAAGGAAUGCUAAUACCGCAUACGCCCUACGGGAGAAAGCAGGGGAUCUUCGGACCUUGCGCUAAUAGAUGAGCCUCAGUCGGAUUAGCUAGUUGGUGGGGUAAAGGCCUACCAAGGCGACGGUCUGUAGCGGGUCUGAGAGGAUGAUCCGCCACACUGGGACUGAGACACGGCCCAGACUCCUACGGGAGGCAGCAGUGGGGAAUAUUGGACAAUGGGCGGAAGCCUGAUCCAGCCAUGCCGCGUGUGUGAAGAAGGCCUUAUGGUUGUAAAGCACUUUAAGCGAGGAGGAGGCUACUUUAGUUAAUACCUAGAGAUAGUGGACGUUACUCGCAGAAUAAGCACCGGCUAACUCUGUGCCAGCAGCCGCCGUAACAC
rnacentral:rRNA from 1 species